AGAAACCACUAAUCUCUGUUUCUUGAUUUAUAUCGGCGCCUUCUCCUUCCACCGUGUAUUGAAAUGGCAGGAACUGGGGUGGUGGCAGUUUACGGUAAUGGAGCAAUCACUGAAACUAAGAAGUCCCCCUUCUCCGUCAAGGUGGGUCUGGCCCAGAUGCUCCGGGGUGGUGUUAUCAUGGACGUCGUCAACCCAGAGCAGGCUCGCAUCGCCGAGGAGGCCGGCGCUUGUGCUGUCAUGGCCUUGGAGCGUGUCCCUGCUGACAUCCGCGCUCAAGGUGGCGUCGCUCGAAUGAGUGACCCUCAGCUAAUCAAAGAAAUUAAGCAGUCCGUCACCAUCCCUGUCAUGGCUAAGGCCCGCAUCGGGCACUUUGUGGAGGCUCAAAUUCUUGAAGCCAUAGGCAUCGAUUAUGUUGAUGAGAGCGAAGUGCUUACCCUUGCGGAUGAGGAGAAUCAUAUCAACAAACAUAACUUCCGUAUCCCCUUCGUUUGCGGUUGU
rnacentral:lncRNA from 1 species